GGAGGUUAAAGCUGAAGAUGCUGGAGUUUAUGAGAGUUACCUGCUGGUGAAUCGAGUGAAGAGAGCUCUCAGUUCUAAACGAGUCUUCAUCCAGAGCGUGGAGCUCUCAGUAGAUGAAUCUGCUGAAUCAAGUCAGCAUGCUGAGGCAAAUCUACAACUGGGAGCAACAGAUGAUGCUACGGUGAACUGUCCUUCACUAAAGAUCACAGGAAUUCUUCUGAUUGUCUGGCUCUUCUUCUUCUGAAGAGAACAAAAAAGAAAAGAGUGCUCUACUCAUCAUUUUACCUGUUACCUGAGCAAGUGAAACCGAUCAGGUCAUAUUUACUAUACAGGUAUAUACGUAAAUUUAGUAUUCAGUAUUUAAUGGAAACAGUCUAAUGCAAAAGUUUAUGCACCCAUUACCCAAUAACACAUUUUGAUGUUUUUUCUCUUUGUUUUUUAGUAAAAACACUCUUUAUUCUGUAGUUAAUAUUUUGAGUAAAAUAUAAUGUGUAAUAGGCUUGUCAAAUGUGAACAAAAAAGACUGACAGUGGGACUGUGCAAUAGGAUUUGUUAAAAAUGUGUGUUAUCAUUAUGUAUCUGUGUUAAAAUGAACACUGUUUUUUAAGUAAGCACCUUAUUUUAACUGUGAAGCAUGGUGGUGGUAGUACGGUGUACAAUCUACGUCAAUAGAACUGAGGCCUUUCCGUUCUAUAAAAUGUUAACACAUUUCAAAAUCUUAUAAAACACUCAGAUCCUACUGAUCUGUGCAUUUUAGAAAUUAGCGUAAUAAACUAGGUCACACUGUAAAAAUAAAAAAGUUG
rnacentral:lncRNA from 1 species